rnacentral:rRNA from 1 species
GAUGAACGCUAGCUACAGGCUUAACACAUGCAAGUCGAGGGGAAACGACAUCGAAAGCUUGCUUUUGGUGGGCGUCGACCGGCGCACGGGUGAGUAACGCGUAUCCAACCUGCCCACCACUUGGGGAUAACCUUGCGAAAGUAAGACUAAUACCCAAUGACGUCUCUAGAAGACAUCUGAAAGAGAUUAAAGAUUUAUCGGUGAUGGAUGGGGAUGCGUCUGAUUAGCUUGUUGGCGGGGUAACGGCCCACCAAGGCGACGAUCAGUAGGGGUUCUGAGAGGAAGGUCCCCCACAUUGGAACUGAGACACGGUCCAAACUCCUACGGGAGGCAGCAGUGAGGAAUAUUGGUCAAUGGGCGAGAGCCUGAACCAGCCAAGUAGCGUGCAGGACGACGGCCCUAUGGGUUGUAAACUGCUUUUAUAAGGGAAUAAAGUGAGUCUCGUGAGACUUUUUGCAUGUACCUUAUGAAUAAGGACCGGCUAAUUCCGUG